GGUGGGCGCCGUCGGGCGCCAGGUGGGCGGCGCGGAUGAGGCGGGCGCGGCGCUCGGCCUGCAGCACCACCUCGAGCUCGGCGAAGCGCUGCUGGUCCCGCUGCCGCCGCUGGUAGUAGAGGGUGCCGCCGCGCACCACGUAGCAGGCGGCCGCCUUGCGGAUCUUCCGCUUGGCGUUGCCCUCCGUGCCCGGCGCGUAGGGCUCCCGCUCGUUGGUCAGGUAGCGCAGGAUGGCCAGGCUCAGGAGAUGUAAUGGUGGAGGUAAGAACGAAGAGAAAAUUUGAAGUAGAAUUUCAUGUUUUAAUACCAAUGUACAUGUCAGGAGAAGCAAAAUCGGUGAUGCGUUUGUACCAGCAUGAUCCAGGGAUGGUGGCACAAGGUUGCAUCUUGAGCUCAAGAGGGACUAAAGACUCCAAGCUGUACAAAGCUGUACAAUGGAACAACAGAAGACCAGCUGCAUUGUGAGCUACAGGAUUGGUUUGAGGUAGACAACGGUGAUCCUUCCCCUCUAUUUAGCACUUGGAAGACUGUAACUGAACUACUUUGUCCAGUUUGCCCCUUCCUCCCCAAAACCAAGAAGGAUAUUGACAUCCUGGAUGGAGCAAGCCCAGCAGAGUGCCAUGAAGAUGGUCAAGAGAGGGUGCAUAUUAUCAAGGGUCAUGAGCACAUCAAGGGUUUGUUCAGCUUUAAAAACAGAAGGCUUUAUGUGGAUCUUGUUGCUGUCUGCAGCUAUCUCAUUGGAGGGUAAAGAAAACAGAAAAAGAUUCUUCACAGAGAAGCACAGUGAUAGAUUGAGAGGCAACAGAGACAAGUUGGAACAGGAAAUUCCAGUCAGCUUUACUGUUUUUAAAAAAAGCCAUGAUGGUGGUUAAAUACUGGAGGCAGUGAAAUCUCUGUGUUCAAGACUUGACUGGACACAGGCAUGAGCAAUGUCAUCUAGUUAGAGCUGCUUGGAGCUGGAGGCUAGACUAGAUGACCUCUGGAAGUCCUUUUCACCUUGACUUAUUCUGUGAUUAUGAAAGAUUAUUCCAUUUUUAAUGAUAAACAUUUAAUAGGGAAUCAGUUAAAUUGCAUUGGGCAGCCACCUGAUCUUUAAUUUAUGAAUUUGUUAAAUUUCAUUGCAUUAGGGUAAAUCUGUUCAAGCUGAGUAACAGUGAGUUCUAUGCAGUGAAGUUAACACCCUGCAUCACUCCACUUGUUUUACAGGCUGCGCUGUUCUCUGAAAGGCUGUUAGAUUUUCAGUCAGUCUCACUACCUAAGUCAGAACUCAUCAAUAAACACCAGGGAAUACCUUAGAGCAUUCUGCAUCUGCAGUAAAACCAGGCAGCCAAGCCUGCACACUUAAAAGCACAUGGACUUACUAAUUGCUCAUAUUUGACAAUCAGUUGCUAAAUACAAUGCUAGUGGAUUUUCAAACAUUUUACAAUGUUCUCGCUUUUUAGCUGAGGACACUCAUAUGGAACAAUUAAAAUGAAAAGCACACAAACAUACAUGCAGUGUACCAGCUGCUCAAUGCCAAUAAAGACCGAAACAAUGAGUAUUUACGCUUUCCUUUGAGAUUAGUUGUUUUACCAGCAUAGAUGACUUCCAUCAGGGUAUUUAGCCUUCAUCAUUUUAAAUCAUUCCCCUCCCUAUUCAAAAAAGGACUUUCCUCCCUCCUGCCCUUUGACAGCGAAGAUAACAUUCAAAGCAGUUCUAGGAUGGCAGAUGCAUUAAAAGCCAAAUCAGUAAGCCAUUUUACUUUUCAAAAACUGCAACAGCUGAAUUCAGUGUAGUGAAAGCCCUGAAGGGGGUAUUUGCCAUCUGAAAUACUAUUUUCAAUUGUGAGAUGAAAAGGUGACAUCAAUAAAUUGUGA